AACGAACGCAGGCGGCAUGCCUAACACAUGCAAGUCGAACGAGAUCUUCGGGUCUAGUGGCGCACGGGUGCGUAACGCGUGGGAAUCUGCCCUUUGGUUCGGAAUAACAGUUGGACACGACUGCUAAUACCGGAUGAUGACGAAAGUCCAAAGAUUUAUCGCCAGAGGAUGAGCCCGCGUAGGAUUACCUCGUUGGUGUGGUAAAGGCGCACCAAGGCGACGAUCCUUAGCUGGUCGGAGAGGAUGAUCAGCCACACUGGGACGGAGACACGGCCCAGAAUCCUACGGGAGGCAGCAGUGGUGAAUAUUGGACAAUGGGCGAAAGCCUGAUCCAGCAAUGCCGCGUGAGUGAUGAAGGCCUUAGGGUUGUAAAGCUCUUUUACCCGUGAUGAUAAUGACAGUACCGGGAGAAUAAGCUCCGGCUAACUCCGUGCCAGCCGCCGCCGUAA
rnacentral:rRNA from 1 species